AACAGCGCCUUGAAAACAAGACUUUGUCAUCAGAAUGGUUUUGCUAGAUUGGUCACGUCAAAGCGUGUGACCAUUUCCAACGCCAGGAUUGUAUGCGGAGACAGAGUCCAGCCCUCUCCUUAAAACGAUAGGAAAAUUGACGCCCAGAGCCACUGGUGACUUGGCCAAGGCCACACAGCGAGUGGCCAGAGCUAAGGCUUGAGUUCAGGUUUUCUUACUGCAACUGUUUUUCUUCUAUUGUCCUCAAGUUUCUGAGUAGUUAGACCUCCUAAGCUUCCGAGUCCCAAGAGAAGGUGAUCUCUGUGCACUUAACCUGGAGGACAAGAAGCGAGGACCCGUGGGCUUGGGGGGUUCCCUGGGGCUCACUUGGCCAUCUUAUAAUUUGGGGUGGGAUUUAAGGGCCUGGAAAUGUAUGUUUGCCUCUUGGAAAUUCACAUCCUGCUUCUGGUGGGCAGUUUACCCCCUGAGUAUGUCACCAAACACCGGGAGAGUCCUUAGCCCUGAGUGAGAGACGCGAACAUUUUAGGGAAAGAGUUGACAUAGAGUGGGUAGGAAGAGGUGGAUGAGAACAGGCUCGGUUUGGUCAGUCUGAAAACUGAAAAUAGAUCUGAUCUGAUGACAUUUGGGCAACUAUUGACCUUGUCACAGAGCCCAAAGCCUGUGGCUGGAUGGGCGGGGAUUAGGCAAGAACAUUUCAGAAAGAAUGUUCCUGUGCCUCAGCCGCUAGGAAUGCUGGGUCAUUCCUGCUGGGCCCGAGGGUGGCGGCAGCAGAGGGAGACGAGCCCCAAGGGGCCAGCAGUUGGCUGGGGCCUGCCCUGGAGCCCAUCUGAUCACCAACACCGAGGCCUCACAAACCAGUCGUGGUGGGUGACAUCCUCAUUCCCUCAGAGCCUGUCUCCUACCUGUCAUGGCGUCCUCUAUGGCAGGGUCUGGGAGGGAGACUAGGAGCAUGAGACAAAACCAGGCAGAGUGGGCGCUCUAGAUGGGCUUAGAUCUAGGGGCAGCAUUGUGGUAAGUGUUCUCUUAGGGGCAACGUGGGUAUUGGAACCCGGUUGGCUUUCCCACCAAGGAGUGGGGGAGGGGGCGUUUGAGUCACCUGACAGAGGUGGAUGCCAGUUCCGAUUCUACUGUUUAGCACCGUGUGUCCUUGAGAAAUGGACAUGCUCAUUGUCUUCAUCUUCGCAAACCAAACAGUGAUGCAGGCGAGGGGCUUAGCGCAGUGCCUGUUGAAGUUAUUAUUAGCGAGGUACAAUGCCAGGCACAAAGUAAAGGCUCAAAAAAUGGUAACUGAGUGGGCCAUGUGUGGAAGUUUCCUGGGCAAUCAUAAAGGCUUACUCACAUAGGCACAAGGACUGUUAGCAUCAUACCCAGGCAACGGGGCACUUCACGUAGCAUGUGGGGUUUCUGCACCUGGGGGACCUUCUCUUUGCCUGCUUAGCCUCUCAGGUUGAGGCUCACCUUGGUCUAGACAAGCCAUGCAACUGACAUUUCCCCAGGCCAGGAAAGGGUUCAGCUGGGAUAUGAGUUUCUAGAUAGAAAUUAACCUAUGAGUCAACAUUAGGUCUCUGUCUUGAACAUUCAAUGGUUAGGACACUAGAGCCCUUUGGGACCCUUCACCCAAGCUCCAGAUGUAGGCUGGAGUAGUGGAGGGCUCUUUCACGAGUGGAGGGAUUUUGGGGGGAGCGUAAGUAUAGGGCAUCAAAAGGAGGGUCCCUUUGGUUAUGUGAGCUGGUUGUCUCUUGGUGUGCCCCCCGACCCAAGCCCUGGUUGCCAGGCUGAGCUGGCUGUGAGGGGGGCACCGAUGGAGGCUGGCACAUCAGUAUCUCACAGUCCUACCCUCACCCCUUCCCCCAGAAUCAAUCCUUCAGCUUCUAAACACCAAGGAGCCCACCAUCUCCCUAUCUCCACGGUGAGGAGGGCAUCAUGAGGAGGAGCCGAGAGAACUUAAUUAAACAAACAUGUUAAUGAGACCCGGGAACUACCCUUCCCCUCCCUGGCCCAUGACUACCAUGCUCCCUCUUACAGACGUGGGGUCACGUACACAGGUGCACACACUUGUGGCUACAACACGCGUGUAUACACAGACUUACUUUGAACGGAUAUUUAUUAAACUUCCCCAGGGCCCUGGCGAGUUCCCUGACCCUGUCCCUUGUCCGGCCCCGCACGGUCUCGGUGUCCCAGGCCUGUGAUCCCUGAUACUCUGCCUCCCUCCGCCACUGGGAGCCACUGAGGCAGGGAUCGUGUCUUCGUGUUUCCAGCUCCUGAGUCACACGUAACAUAGAGGAGAUUUUCGGUACGUGCGGAAUAAGGACAUCAAGGAGGAGGAAGACGCACGGGGCAGAGGACAGCACGUGCAAAGACGCGGAAGAGGGGAAAUGGAGGCAUUUGUCUGGACAGCCCAUGCACGAAGGCACAGGACUUAAGGCAGAGACUGAAGACGGCAGCCCACAGCCAGCUCUUCCUGUUAAAGCAGAACUUCCCUUCCAGUGAGGGAUGAAUGCUUGUCGUCCUUCAUACAUCCUCCUCAGCACCUGCCUCCUCUCCCGCCCCGGAGAAGACAAGAAGACCAGCGUGGCCACAGGUGUGGCGCGAGGUCAGGAACAGAACCAAUUCCUCCGCUGUCGCCGUCCGCAGCUUAUGGCUAAUGGCUGGCAAAUGCAGGGACACACCAGGCGAAUGCUUUGCGAAUCUGGUUCCCGUUAAGGCGCCGGUAGAGAAACCCAGGAGGUCCUCGUGGUGAAAUCAGACCAGAUGUGAGUAGAUUGACGAACGUCCCCCGAAACAGAAGGAGCCCCACGGUCCUGACAUGCCUACAGGGUUCGAAGAGACCCACAGUUCCCUUGGGGUGGGGGUGGGGGUGGAGGUGGGGUCAUGUUCCCGAAAGAAUAUCAAGUCACACCAUCAAAUAGCAAAUGCCUCGCCACGACGGGAGCCGAAGAGCAGCCCAAUUUCCCAACAAGAAGCAGGCCACCGGUCGUAUCACAACACGGUGACCAGGCAGACCGUGCUCGCCGAUGAUCCCUGGACUCUAUCAGUGCCAGGCAAGCCUAGGAGGCAGGAUCGCCGAGAGGCUGAGGGCGGCCACUUGGAUUGGGCUGACCCCUCCACUUCUUAGACUUAGGCACUCCGGUGAAGAUUCAGUGGGGAUCCUCAGGCCCUAUGCGGCCCCAGAGCAGAGCCUGGCUCAAGUCAGUGUUCAGCAAGCAUCAGCCAUCAUUAGUAUUCUUGGUCAAAACCUCCAAGCAGGAGAGAAUCACACCCAUGUGGGAGGUGAAGAAACCACCGCUCAGACAAGUUCAUUAACACGGCCCAGGAGCGCACGACGCGGCUAGACCCAGGAGCCAGCCCUGAGCCCAGGCAGGCUGACGCAGAGCCCUCCCUUUUGAGCUCUGUUUUAUACCACUUCCUGGAUGGGAAAUGGGGACUCAGGCCAGAAGGACUCGGGAACAUUGUUUCCUAGGGCCGCUGAUGCCCAUCCCCGAGAGUUGGGCAAUGCUGGAACAAGAAGUGAGGCAGAAAGGGAUGGAAAUGCAAUAAUCAGGCGCUAGAAUGUCAGAAGGUUCCAGAAUGUUGGAAGAGGGACGCCACCUGCCCCGCACCCCCUUCAGGUGCGCAGGCCGGCUCCGGGUGAGCCGCGUGUGAGGCGGGGGCGGGCCGAGGGCCAGCCAGGCAAGGCGCCCCGCACGAUUUCCUGUUAUUCAGUCUCGUUCUAGGAGCACCCCAUCAUCUGGCCAACUCAGGGCGACAGACUCCAGAGAGCUCAGUCAAGCACUUGGGGAGUUUAGUUUUUAAAAUAACAAAUCGUGAACCCGGUUAAAACUUUUCAGUCAACCCAGUCAGAAAUCCAGUCAAGUGGCUGGAAAAUUCGAGAAACCCAGGCCACGCUACGUUCAGUCGAGUUUUGCCGUUAACUUCUGCAAAAUCAAUCAGAAACUCGGUCAGUUCAUCCUGAAGCCCUGGGAGUCUAGACAGAAGUUCAGGCAGCCUUCUCAUGUACCGAGGUGGUGAGUUGGAAAUUUGGUGAGGUUGGUCCAAAAUCCAGCAAGGUCAAUCCAAGUCCGGAUCAGCCCAAGGUUCCAUGUGGCGAGGCUGAAGUCCACGUGGUGCAGUCAGCCAGCGCAACAGUCCCAGAAGGUCCUGGCUGAGCCUUCACCAUGGGUUGGAAACCAUCUCAGCUCUGGCUCUGCCUUCUUCCCUGGAAAGGCAUCUGUUGACUAUGAAAUCUGAGGACAUACACACUUGCAUGUGGGUAUUAUUAGAAGCCUAGGGCAGAGCAAGCACCAGCCAUGGCUCCAGCCGGCCCCAGAGGCCAGAUUCCUCUGAGUGAGUGGGGAGGGGUGGGGCACAGAGGGAACCCAGCUCCCCACCACCUCUGCGCACCAGCCCAGCCCCCUCACACGGCAUCCGGAGGUCCCGUCUUGUGGUUCAUAGCCACAUGUCCCCGGCACCGUCACAUUGGGCAACUUCGACUCCAGCUAGCAAUUUUCCCAUCUUCCGGCGUCUGGGCCCCCGCUCACCAGUUUCUUCUCCUAAGAUGUCUUAGGACAUCCCAUCCUUCCAGCCCGGCGCAGACUCUGCUGGGUCUUUGGUGCUCUGACCUUGGUGCCAUCUCCUCUGCUGGGGCCCGGCCCUCGGAAGUCCAGUGAAUGAGAUGGGGUGUGCUUGUUUGAGACGUUAACAGUUCUUUUUCUCUUGGGAGUUCACUCUGUGCUCUGCAUUCAACACAGCCUGCGUGAUUACAAAGUGGGAUGGGACAGAUGUCGAAUGGAAACAAAGGAGGCUGCCCGGCUGGGACCCCCAGGCCCAGGUCUCCGAAGAAAUGAGAGAAUUCAGAGGCUUAGUGGAAAUGUGGGAGCAAGGUCAGGAGUGAGAGCAGGCCUUGGCCGUUGAGGAGGGGGCUUCCCUGGAGAGCUCUGGGAGGCAGCAAGACCCGGGGGGAAGGGCUGGGGGCAAGUCCAGGCACCGCCUGGCUUCCACACCCAGGUGAGGCCCAGACCUGAGAAGUGGCCCCUGGGCCCCGCACCUUGCAGGCAAGAGGCAGGAAUGAAGGUAGUCUUGGUGAUGAGCUUCGAGGACGGAUGUCUGAAUCUGGAGGGCUCCACUGAGAAAUGACCCAGGGGACUUUGGGGUCAAGUGCUUCGGGGGCACGCUAAUUCCCCGCAGCAUCUGGCCUUGUAGCAACUCCUGUGACUCCAGCUCUUCCCGGGGGAAACUGCAAGGUUGCCCCAAACUCACUGAGUGAGAUUGUGCCCUUCACCCCAAUGAAUGGAGAGCUCAAGCCAGAGACUGAAUUGCUACGGAAAGAUGAAUCGUUCUGCCUGUGCGGCUGGGCUGCCCGCGGAGCGUGGUUCCUCCUGCACUGACACUUCUAGACAGGUCCUGGGCAGCAUCUUUUCUUAUCCUAACAACUAGCUCCAUGCACAUGCCGUGAGGCCUCCCAUUUUACAGACGAGGAAACUGAGCCACUGAGGCACAGGGGCAACUCACCUGAGGUCCCAGGGUUGGUGCCCGGAGGGGUCAGAUGCAGAGUUGUGUCUGUCUGACUCCCGGGCCCAUGCUCCGCACUGGCCACACUCGUAGCAGGUUCCCUUUCCCUCUCCCGACACUGGGAGAACCCCAGGUGUAUUUAUUUUUUUUUUUUAAUUUUUUUUUCAACGUUUUUUAUUUUUG